rnacentral:lncRNA from 1 species
AAAAAAAAAAAAAAAACCCUGACUACUCCGUUGACUAGACAGUCUCCUCGGGAAGCCGACAGGAGCUACCAGCUGGAGCUGACUGCCUAGCACCCUAGGCAAGAGGUCACAGUGGCGACUGCUCGAGCAACUCAAAGGAAGGUGGGGAGGAAAGGAAAACACAAUCCAAAUUUACAAAUUUUGGAAAGCCUUUUGCCUAACUUGGAUCGCCAGGCAGUAUUGGCGGGCUCAAGGCUCAGAGCGGACCGACCGCGGUCUUGAUGGUAGAGCCUCUGGCCGAUGCUUGUGUGCGCGCGAGAACCCUGGCUUCAAGGCUGCUCUCGCUGUUGCUUUUUAGUUACUUUCCAAAAGAGCCUAAUUUCGAUUUCCCCGCUAGCCUGAGCUGCUCGGGAGACUUUCUCCACCUCGCUGAUGGCUGCCUCUCCCCCUCCGCCAAGGCCGGAUCUGGGCGGUCCAUUCCCGUGUAUCUCCUUGGAACCUCUCUGGGGAAAGGGGUGGUGAACAACUCCCAGCUGCCGGUUCCAUUUGUUGCGCCUUUUUCCUUCGACACAAUAAAAGUCAAAUUAAUUGAUUCAUACCAUUAA